rnacentral:lncRNA from 1 species
CCCGGUAGCUGGCAUGGCCACAGGUGGGACUCCCCUCAGUAAUUCCGCGAAACUUUGGAAAUCUGGUGUACUUGUAGUUGGUGUUCAGGUAGGGUAGAAAACAGCUGGGGAAAACAACCUUCAACUGGGGAAAACAACCUGAGGGAAAUCCCCUGGUCAAAAAGCAACAACGAGGGGACAGAAUCAUAAUGGCAGGAGAGAUCAGGGGGCCCAGGGAAAUUUUCUAAAGUGGCGCGUGCACCUUAGUUAACAGAGCUGUCCUAUAGUUAAUUAAGUUUCCUCACUAUCAGUAAAAAACGCUCCCUUAGGCGGAGAUUUAAGAUGCUAAUGAGACCUGCGAUGCAUGAAGCAGCAAGGAGGUACACCGCGCAGGCGCAGUGCAGGACCCACAUCAACAUACUUUGGGGUGGGAAAGAGAAGGGGUGGCCCCUAAUCCCAAGAGCCUAUAAAAGCGCUGUACCUGUAAACCUGAGGGAGCCACAUCUAUUCUCUUUCGGAGAGUGUUCUCUGGGUGCAUCGAGCUUUCGCUUUAAUAAACCGUUCUGCAAAACUGUUUCGCCCACUCUCUUGAUUUCUAUCCUGAGAGGGGCAAGGACCCCCACGACAAUAACAUUCCUGGCUACCUCAGAGGGGACUCAUUUUCCAGACUUUUCCUUGCUAAACGUCUCGCUCUGUGGACUCGCCAGAUCCUGGUUCCUGUGCCUUGGAGUCCCGGUUUCACUUCCCCUUUCCCUUGACUAUCCAGACGUCCUGGUUAACUUCUGAGGCCCUGUUGUUAGGGUGCACACUCUUUGCCCAGGUAGGAAGGGGUGUCCCCCUUAGAGACCCAGUGCUUGUUUCUGUAGUGGCCCUACCCCUGGUCUGGUUUUGAUCUGGCCAUAUAUCUAUGUUCCCCACCUUUCUCAUCCCUUCCCGCCGCAGCUUUCAAGUCGCCUGAUUAUUUUCUUUGAUUACUGACUUCUCUUUGGGGUCGAGAUUUUUGCAAUCUGUGUAUUCGACUUUCACGACACAACUCUGGUCAUCUGUGUUACAUUCAUUAUCCCUUAAACUCUUCCAAGUCCUGGCAGAAAGCUUUCGUUGUUGAUCCCCACACACACACCCCCACCAACUCUCUCAUUUGUCUCAUCAGACAUCUUUUGGCUUGUUUUCACGACUUCAUCCGGAACAAAGGUUUCAAGAAACCUUUGGGGUCCCUCAUCUUUCUCUGGCAAAGUGCCGUGGGCCAGCAUUACUUAGGUGUCCUAACUCUUUCUACCUCCACAGAUUUCAUCUGCCCCUUUGGGAACAAACUCUUUGGGACCAGGGACGAUUCAACAAAUUUUAAGUGCUCAAAGUAGGGGAGUCCACCCGCCUCUUGGUCCACUUAUAAUUGGACAUCAAUUCUAUAUUCAGAAACUUGGCAGAAUUCAAAGUCUUACAAGAUUUUUCUCUCAGUAACUUUCAGGUUUUUACAGAUAUAACCAGAAAUAUAAACAGCCACUACUGCCUGAGGCAGAAAUAACUGAAGGGGGGGAGGGGAAAGGUACUUUUAAAAACACAAGCAGCUAAUCUCACUUGCUGGACACCCCCCUUUGCCCAGCCUCAAGGACAAAUGAAAAAUCUUAAGUCCUCUCUACAAUUAUUGGUAAUUUUGUCUAUGUGUAUGAUCUCUGAUAUCUAUAUUUGUCUGUGUUUUAUAUAUGAUAUGGUAUUUUUGCCUCUGGAUGGUAUUACUAGUUUAUAAUGUUUAAUUGGCUUGAAAAAAGUAAGCACUUACAUAAAUUAAUAAAUAAAUAAAUAAAUAAAUAAUAGAAACUGACCCAAGUACUUUUCAGAAUCAUGUGAUCUAGGAAAAUAUUUGAUACUAAGGCUGGUUGAAGCUUUAGUUAAAUGGACAUGACUUUUAGAGUUAUUGACAUUAAAUAUGGCAUCUUUUGUUUCACCCAGGUUUAGAAAAUAAACUCUUGUUACCUUUGUUACACAAUUUGUUAGGAAAAUAGCUUGGUUAAUAAUUGACUUUGAAAUCUC